UGGGGAAUCUUGGACAAUGGGCGCAAGCCUGAUCCAGCCAUGCCGCGUGAGUGAAGAAGGUCUUCGGAUUGUAAAGCUCUUUUACCAGGGACGAUAAUGACGGUACCUGGAGAAUAAGCCCCGGCAAACUUCGUGCCAGCAGCCGCGGUAAUACGAAGGGGGCUAGCGUUGUUCGGAAUUACUGGGCGUAAAGCGCACGUAGGCGGGUCGUUAAGUCAGGGGUGAAAUCCCGGAGCUCAACUCCGGAACUGCCUUUGAUACUGGCGAUCUUGAGAUCGGAAGAGGUGAGUGGAAUUCCCAGUGUAGAGGUGAAAUUCGUAGAUAUUGGGAAGAACACCAGUGGCGAAGGCGGCUCACUGGUCCGAUACUGACGCUGAGGUGCGAAAGCGUGGGGAGCAAACA
rnacentral:rRNA from 1 species